rnacentral:rRNA from 1 species
GACGAACGCUGGCGGCGUGCCUAAUACAUGCAAGUCGAACGCUUCUUUCCUCCCGAGUGCUUGCACUCAAUUGGAAAGAGGAGUGGCGGACGGGUGAGUAACACGUGGGUAACCUACCCAUCAGAGGGGGAUAACACUUGGAAACAGGUGCUAAUACCGCAUAACAGUUUAUGCCGCAUGGCAUAAGAGUGAAAGGCGCUUUCGGGUGUCGUUGAUGGAUGGACCCGCGGUGCAUUAGCUAGUUGGUGAGGUAACGGCUCACCAAGGCCACGAUGCAUAGCCGACCUGAGAGGGUGAUCGGCCACACUGGGACGGAGACACGGCCCAGACUCCUACGGGAGGCAGCAGUAGGGAAUCUUCGGCAAUGGACGAAAGUCUGACCGAGCAACGCCGCGUGAGUGAAGAAGGUUUUCGGAUCGUAAAACUCUGUUGUUAGAGAAGAACAAGGACGUUAGUAACUGAACGUCCCCUGACGGUAUCUAACCAGAAAGCCACGGCUAACUACGUG